GCUCUUCCAACCCCUCAGCUAGAAAUUCACUUUGGAACCCACCUGGUACUCGUGUACGCAGAUUUUGGAAGAUUUUCGGAAUGGUAUCCGAAAUCUUUUUAUGGUAUUCCAGAAGGAGGCCAAACUCUUCUAGAGUUGGCGGCUGUUCAGGGGGACGUUGCUCGGGGGCGGCUCUUCCCUCCGUAUCUGAUGAUACGCUGAGGUACUGCGGCCCACUACCUGAGUCUGGUCCCGAAUCAACUCGUCGCCGUCUUGAUGACGGAACCGCGUAUUCGACCGGAUCCUGAGCAGAAGGCCCAACUUUC
rnacentral:lncRNA from 1 species